AUGUGGACAACUGCCAGCGGCAGAGUUGACCGGUGCCGCGGUCACGGCCGUCCUCGUCCCCUCCGUUCCGUUGGCCUUCCACUGCUCGCUGCUGCUGCUUUCCACCGUUGCUGCUCCCUACUGCUGCUACUGGCUGCUCGCUGCUGCUGCUCCUCCAUUGCUACUUUCCACCGUUGCUGCUCCCUACUGCUGCUCGCUGCUGCUGCUCCUCCAUUGCUACUUUCCACCGCUGCUCAUCUGCUGCACACUAGUGUUGCUCCUCCGUUGCUACUUUCCGCCGGUGCUCAUCCGCUGUUGCUACUUGCUGCUGCUACUCGCGAGGAAGGAAGAGGAGAAGGGGAGGAGAGGGAAUCGCGCCGCCGCUGGUCGCCGAAAGCCAACCUUCGGCCCCGCCUGUCCCCAUCUCGCCGGGAAUCGCGCCGUCGUCGCUGGCCGCCGAAAGCCCACGCCACUGGAGAAGUUAGCUGGCGUCGGCCUGCUAUCCCGACGGGCAGAGGAGCCACGUGCGGGACGGAGCCCAACAACUCGAGACCUAGCGCCGCAGAUCUCGCCUUAUCCGGUGAUGAGCGCGGCUGGUCUGGGCGGCGGUGA
rnacentral:rRNA from 1 species